rnacentral:rRNA from 1 species
GAUGAACGCUGACAGCAUGCUUAACACAGAAUAACUGAAUGGGUGGCGGACGGGUGAGUAACGCGUAAAGAACUUACCUUACCGUUAGGGACAACAUAUGGAAACGAAAGCUAAUAUCUUAUACUGUGAGAGAGCUUUGCGUCACAUUAGCUAGUUGGAGAGGUAACGGCUCACCAAGGCGAGGAUGAGUAGCCGGCCUGGGAGGGUGAUCGGCCACAAGGGGACUGAGACGGCGCCCUUACUCCUUCGGGAGGCAGCGGUGGAGAAUAUUGGACGAUGUACCGAAGUCUGAUGCAGCCAUUCUGGUUGCACGAUAAAGUUUUCGGGAUGUAAAGUGCUUUCAGUUGGGAAGCGGUACCAGCAGAAGAAGUGACGGCUAAAUACGUGCCAGCAGCCGCGGUAAUAC